GAUGAACGCUGGCGGCGUGCCUAAUACAUGCAAGUCGAGCGAACAGACGAGGAGCUUGCUCCUCUGACGUUAGCGGCGGACGGGUGAGUAACACGUGGAUAACCUACCUAUAAGACUGGGAUAACUUCGGGAAACCGGAGCUAAUACCGGAUAAUAUAUUGAACCGCAUGGUUCAAUAGUGAAAGACGGUUUUGCUGUCACUUAUAGAUGGAUCCGCGCCGCAUUAGCUAGUUGGUAAGGUAACGGCUUACCAAGGCGACGAUGCGUAGCCGACCUGAGAGGGGGAGCGGCAACACUGGAACUGAGACACGGUCAAGACUCCUACGGGAGGCAGAAGUAGGGAAUCUUCCGCAAGGGGCGAAAGCCUGACGGAGCAACGCCGCGUGAGUGAUGAAGGUCUUCGGAUCGGAAAACUCUGUUAUUAGGGAAGAACAAAUGUGUAAGUAACUAUGCACGUCUGGACGGUACCUAAUAAGAAAGCCACGGCUAACUACG
rnacentral:rRNA from 1 species